rnacentral:piRNA from 1 species
UUCCAGGUUUGACUCUCCAGCACAGAGCAGA